GGCGGCGUGCCUAAUACAUGCAAGUCGAACGAUGAAGCUUUUAGCUUGCUAGAAGUGGAUUAGUGGCGCACGGGUGAGUAAGGUAUAGUUAAUCUGCCCUACACAAGAGGACAACAGUUGGAAACGACUGCUAAUACUCUAUACUCCUGCUUAACACAAGUUGAGUAGGGAAAGUUUUUCGGUGUAGGAUGAGACUAUAUAGUAUCAGCUAGUUGGUAAGGUAAUGGCUUACCAAGGCUAUGACGCUUAACUGGUCUGAGAGGAUGAUCAGUCACACUGGAACUGAGACACGGUCCAGACUCCUACGGGAGGCAGCAGUAGGGAAUAUUGCGCAAUGGGGGAAACCCUGACGCAGCAACGCCGCGUGGAGGAUGACACUUUUCGGAGCGUAAACUCCUUUUCUUAGGGAAGAAUUCUGACGGUACCUAAGGAAUAAGCACCGGCUAACUCCGUGCCAGCAGCCGCGGUAAUACGGAGGGUGCAAGCGUUACUCGGAAUCACUGGGCGUAAAGGGCGCGUAGGCGGAUUAUCAAGUCUCUUGUGAAAUCUAAUGGCUUAACCAUUAAACUGCUUGGGAAACUGAUAGUCUAGAGUGAGGGAGAGGCAGAUGGAAUUGGUGGUGUAGGGGUAAAAUCCGUAGAUAUCACCAAGAAUACCCAUUGCGAAGGCGAUCUGCUGGAACUCAACU
rnacentral:rRNA from 1 species